rnacentral:rRNA from 1 species
CCUACGGGUGGCAGCAGUGGGGAAUAUUGCACAAUGGGGGAAACCCUGAUGCAGCGAAGCCGCGUGAGUGAAGAAGGAUUUCGGUAUGUAAAGCUCUAUCAGCAGGGAAGAAACCCACCCUCCGGGGUGGCUGUCGGUACCUGACUAAGAAGCCCCGGCUAACUACGUGCCAGCAGCCGCGGUAAUACGUAGGGUGCACGCGUUAUCCGGCUUUACUGGGUGUAAAGGGAGCGUAGGUGGCAAGGCAAGUCAGAUGUGAAAACCCGGGGCCCAACCCCGGGAGUGCAUUUGCAACUGUCUGGCUAGAGUGCAGGAGAGGUAGGUGGAAUUCGUAGUGUAGCGGUGAAAUGCAUAGAUAUUAGGAGGAACACCAGUGGCGAAGGCGGCUUACUGGACUGUAACUGACACUGAGGCUCGAAAGCGGGGGGAGCAAACAGGAUUAGAUACCCGUGUAGUC